GAUGAACGCUGGCUACAGGCUUAACACAUGCCAGUCGAGGGGAAACGACGGGGAAGCUUGCUUCCCCGGGCGUCGACCGGCGCACGGGUGAGUAACGCGUAUCCAACCUGCCUCUGACUGAGGGAUAACCCGCCGAAAGUCGGCCUAAUACCUCAUGGCAUCGUCUGCGGGCAUCCAACGACGAUUAAAGAUUUCAUCGGUCAGGGAUGGGGAUGCGUCUGAUUAGCUAGUUGGCGGGGUAACGGCCCACCAAGGCGACGAUCAGUAGGGGUUCUGAGAGGAAGGGCCCCGACAUGGGAACUGAGACACGGUCCAAACUCCUACGGGAGGCAGCAGUGAGGAAUAUUGGUCAGUGGGCGAGAGCCUGAACCAGCCAAGUAGCGUGCAGGAUGACGGCCCUAUGGGUUGUAAACUGCUUUUAUGCGGGGAUAAAGUGAGGGACGUGUCCUUCAUUGCAGGUACCGCAUGAAUAAGGACCGGCUAAUUACGUG
rnacentral:rRNA from 1 species